UAAAAAGUGUAAUAGAAAAAAGCCAAGAAAAACGUCCCAUUUCAACGGCAGCAUCAAUUCUCAACAUUUCAGGCAGCCGUGCCUUCCUCCCGCUGACAGCCACCAGUCGCCUUCCUCCGCUGACAGCCAUCAUUCUCCAACCUCAGUUUCUUCUUUUUUUCAGUAGGUUCUUGAAAUUGAACUACUACAUGGGUUCUCUAGUACGCCGUGGAUUACUAUUUCUGGGGACAAAGGUGCGGGACUUAAAUGCAAGGAUGCCGGUGACGAUAGUUUUGUUGGUUCAGAACUUGCGAGGAGAAUAGCCAAGACGGCUCCCAUCAUUGGAGUCUGGUCGAAAAGGAAUGGUUUUGGAUUUGGCGAAGUUUGUCGACAAGGGUAUCCAAAUCAAGUUAACUGGUGGAAGACAAGGACUUUGGUGCUGAAACCUUUUGGCUCCACUUAUUAACACAUGGAGCUAUAUGAGCAAGAUGCUGAUGUUGUCAAUUGCACAAUCUAGAGUAAGACUACUGCUUGAAGACAGCUUUCACGUCGAUUGGGUUCAAGUAAUUUGGAGUAUUGAGUCUUUUGCACUAGAGUAUCAACCCUCCUGGGUUCUCCAAGAAAUCGGCAGCCAUCUAUGUAAAGAGUCUAUUGUAAAUAAGAAUUAAGUGUGUAUGGUAAUACUUCGGCCUUCUUUGUAUUAUGGCUCCAAUAAGACCGCCUUGUUUCUUAGCCAAAGAAAUAAAAGUUUUGAUCCGAAACUAA